GACCGUUCACCGAGCCUGAGGAUACCUGGACCAUGUGAUGGUGGCCCGUGGACGCUUAGAAAACGAUAGAACGUGGCCAAAGUUCGAUAUGAGUUGAAUUGUUUCGACCAUCACGGAUUUUCGCUUGGUCUGGAGUGAACUUUGGACAUUUUGUGGACAGGAGUGGGAGCUGCCGACCAUUUGCGGUAGCAGUUAAGCUAACAUUUUGUACAAGCUCAUAAAGACAUUUUCAGCCAUUCACUGACUUUAAUGCUCAAGUCUAGGCUCAGAGCAUCAGCCCAGCGCGUUCGACCGCGCAAUAAAUAGUGUUUGAUACUUUUUAAUAUUAAACACGUAUCUCAGACUAGCUUUUUAACUCCACGUCAGCCGUGGUAAAUCACAUUAGGUCAUUACUCAUUUUGCAAUCGGUUUUAAUGUUAUCCUUAUAUGAAGACAUGAUGUUAAAAUUGAAAAAACUGUUUAGUAAGUUAUUAUGCGGGAGCAGGCAGGUGUCCUCAUAGACAAGAAUACGUAGAUGCUUCAUUGGGUGCUGUAGAACGUAACAGCAUCACCGCCAUCUUGGAUGGGUCUCCUCACUCUCCAAAGUCAAUGCAGAGUGGGCUACUAUGCCCGUUUUUGUGCAGUUUAUGGUUACAACAAACGGCAUACAAUUAAACAGAUUACGUGGGAUUAUUAGUGACUUUUCUAGCCUGCCUGAUGGGAUUAGAUAUUUUAAUUUAUUUUAGUAAAGUAUAUUUUAAUUGUCAGACCUUUUGUCUGAUUUUGUGAAAUAGCUUGAUAAAGUUUGAUUUUUAGUUGGGUAAGCACCUUCCUCAGUAGAAAUUAAUGCAGUAGGGUUGUCAAGUUCUGUGGGUGUCCUCAUGCAGACACUUUCAUGAUGCGUGAGAGACAUACAUGCAAAAAUUAUAUGACAGUGAUGUAAAUUGCUAAUUAUCUAAUCUCAUUUUUACUUUUUUCAAUUGACACUGUUUAUUCGAUGAUGCUUUAUUAAUAUUGAAACAUUAUUGUAGUGAUGCAAAUUUGUGCUUUUACAAACUAUGGACAUAAUGAUAGUUUAAAACCAGUAAUGUGGAUAUAACAGAUCAGUGAAGGAAAAUAGUAGAACAGUAAGGCAAGUCAGGAAAAUUACAUUGGUUAUUUGAUUUAUUAUCUUCUCACAUGACAAAUUCACCCUAUAUAUUGCCUAUUUCAGUCAUGGAACAUUACAAAUUGGGGAAAUAGAGCUAUGUUAUUUAUGUUUACAAAUUGCAGGGACUGACUGUUUCCUCUGUGUCUCUUGUGUUUCUGGGGUGGAAUUUCAUGCAGUGCAGAUUUUGCAAAUUCACAAGCUCCAGUCAACAAACUCUUCUGAAACACUUCUGCCUUCAUCACGGACAAGGUGCACACUGGCAGACGAAAUGAAAAAGAAACAAAAGAACAUGGCAGUCAACCAGCAGAAGAUGGCUCUGAUCUUUUCCCUCAGGCGGAGAGAGGUUGUGGAGCGUCAACCUAUAGUAUCUGAGGUCCAGGAGAGAUGGCCUGCACUGUUUUCCUCUGAAGCGAUAUGUGAAGAAUUUCAUCGGAUCACGAGCAAAGACCUCCUGGGGAAUUUUAAUGCAUCCCUUGACACAUUUGCCUGACCUACUGAAACUGCACCGGUCUAAAAAGGGAUCUCUUGGUGAGGAGAUGGAAGACCUCCUGGAUAAACUUGAUGAACAGACGUCCGACAUUGUGUCCCACCGAAAGACUGCAGCACUGAGAGGCCUGCCCAUUUUCCUCAGAGAAGAUGCAACUCAGGUUUUCCUGAAGUGCUUGGUAAGUUUAUAUUAAAAAAAACAAUGCAAGUAAAACUGAUUUUUGAGAGAUGUCUUCAAGUAUGAUUUCAUCCAAAAUGAAAAUUUACAACUUUUCAGUGCAGUUCAGAUAAAUUUAUGGCAAGAAUUGCAGUUGUCUAUAGCCAGCUUCACACUAGGGACAUGAUUGUUUCUUUUAGGAACAUCACUGCUUCAAAAAUAAUCCAUUAUAAGCUACGCAGUUGAUCCAAACCAGCCCCGCGCAGGUAAAGAUAGGAUUGGGUUCUACCGCAAGUUCCUUCUGGGACAUGUCAAUUUCCGCAGGUAACAUAGGGCUAGAUAAGAAAUUGCACAUGGUUUGUUUAAAACGUCUAGUAAUUUUCAAAAUAAAAUUGUUGAUGAGAU